AUGCAGUCGCACGGACCUUUCGGGGUGAGUGGCGGACGGGUGAGUAUCGCGUAGGGAUCUAUCCAUGGGUGGGGGAUAACAUCGGGAAACUGGUGCUAAUACCGCAUGAUACCUGAGGGUCAAAGGCGCAAGUCGCCUGUGGAGGAGCCUGCGUUCGAUUAGCUUGUUGGUGGGGUAAAGGCCUACCAAGGCGAUGAUCGAUAGCUGGUCUGAGAGGAUGAUCAGCCACACUGGGACUGAGACACGGCCCAGACUCCUACGGGAGGCAGCAGUGGGGAAUAUUGGACAAUGGGCGAAAGCCUGAUCCAGCAAUGCCGUGUGUGUGAAGAAGGUCUUCGGAUUGUAAAGCACUUUCGACGGGGACGAUGAUGACGGUACCCGUAGAAGAAGCCCCGGCUAACUUCGUGCCAGCAGCCGCGGUAAUACGAAGGGGGCUAGCGUUGCUCGGAAUGACUGGGCGUAAAGGGCGCGUAGGCGGUUUACACAGUCAGAUGUGAAAUUCCAGGGCUUAACCUUGGGGCUGCAUUUGAUACGUGUAGACUAGAGUGUGAGAGAGGGUUGUGGAAUUCCCAGUGUAGAGGUGAAAUUCGUAGAUAUUGGGAAGAACACCGGUGGCGAAGGCGGCAACCUGGCUCAUUACUGACGCUGAGGCGCGAAAGCGUGGGGAGCAAACAGGAUUAGAUACCCUGGUAGUCCACGCUGUAAACGAUGUGUGCUGGAUGUUGGGUAACUUAGUUACUCAGUGUCGAAGCUAACGCGCUAAGCACACCGCCUGGAGAGUACGGCCGCAAG
rnacentral:rRNA from 1 species